rnacentral:rRNA from 1 species
GAGUGGAUCUGACCUUAGUACGAGAGGACCGGGUUGGACAGACCUCUGGUGAACCUGUUAUGCCGCCAGGUGUACGGCAGGGUAGCUACGUCUGGAAUAGAUAAGCGCUGAAAGCAUCUAAGUGCGAAACUAGCCACGAGAUGAGACUUCCUUAUAGGGUCGUAGAAGAUGACUACGUUGAUAGGCCAUAGGUGUAAAGGUUGAGAGACCAAAGCCAAGUGGUACUAAUAGCCCGAAGCUUUCUCAAG